rnacentral:tRNA from 1 species
GCGAGAGUGGCGGAAUUGGUAGACGCACUGGACUUAGAAUCCAGCGGAUUUCCGUGGGGGUUCAACUCCCCCCUCUCGCA